GCCCUUGUAAAAAUCAAAGGUGUAACCUGCCCAAUGAUUCUUAAUUAAAUAGUAAUAAAAAUCCUAUAAAAGAAUUUAAAGGACGCAGUAUCCUGACUGUGAUAAUGUAGCAUAAUCACUCGCCAUUUAAUUGAUGGAUAGUAUGAAUGGUUGAACGAAUAUUACACUGUCUUAAAUAAAAAACAUAUGAAAUUAAAAUAAUAGUAAAGAUGCUAUUUAAAACUGUAAGACGAAAAGACCCUAUAGAGCUUAACUAUAACCUCUCAUAAACAAAAAUAAAAUACUAAGUUUUAUAAAAAGAGAGGUUGGUAGUUUAGUUGGGGCGACUAUCUUCUAGAACGAACGAAGAUAAGCAACAUUAAUAAUUUAAUUUAUUGUAAAACCGAUAUGUUUAACAAUUAUAAAAAUAGGCUUUAGUGACCCGUUAAUUAAGGGUAAUGUUAUUAACGAUCAAUAAAUAAAAGCUACCUUAGGGAUAACAGGAUAAUUUCGUUUUAGAGAUCUUAUCGAAAACGAAGUUUGUCACCUCUAUGUUGAAUUAAGAUAUCCUGAUGGUGCAGAAGCUAUCAAAGGUAGGUCUGUUCGACCUAUAAAAUCUU
rnacentral:rRNA from 1 species